ACUGGAAGAAAGGAAAUCUUACAUUAAAAGCUUUUGAUGCAAAACAUAAGAGGGGAGGUGGUGGUUUCAUCAGUGUGGAAGGUUACCAUGAUGUUCUCAGAGAUCAAACAUUCAAACUUGCAUAACAGAAGUUUGAGCACCUUAGCAGUACAUGCUUCAUUGUAUGGAAUGAGUUCUGGCAAGAGAUUUUGAAAUAAAAACAACUUGGAAAGUUUGAAGGAAGAAUGACGUCUGAUGGGUAAGGAUGCAAAACUUCUAACCAGCUGAACAUUUCAACAUUGUACAUUUUUAUGGUAGCAAAAUAGUAAGCAUCAAGCAAUGUUCUGAUUUA